UACGUAUGUCGCAAGCGUUAUCCGGAUUUAUUGGGCGUAAAGCGCGUCUAGGCGGUUUGGUAAGUCUGAUGUGAAAAUGCGGGGCUCAACUCCGUAUUGCGUUGGAAACUGCCAAACUAGAGUACUGGAGAGGUAGGCGGAACUACAAGUGUAGAGGUGAAAUUCGUAGAUAUUUGUAGGAAUGCCGAUGGGGAAGCCAGCCUACUGGACAGAUACUGACGCUAAAGCGUGAAAGCGUGGGUAGCAAACAGG
rnacentral:rRNA from 1 species